GCAGCAUUUUGCACUUGGCUCUUUUGGCUGCCACUGAUUUAGACCAUAUAAGUCCAGAAUUAUUAUAAAGUAAAUCCUUAUUCUUGCCACUGUUCCUGGGAUGCUGACGUGGACCACCUUCCUAUACCUGUGAGAGCACGAACAAAUGUGAGAGCGCAUUGGAUUGGCUUUGGCCGGGCCCUCCAACGCUUAAGUUAGAGAGGGUUUGAAGCGGGAAGAGGAGGAAGAGAGAAUAGAGGGACAAAGUCUCCUCUGGUUAUGGUAAUUUUUGCAUUACCUUUUUGGUGG
rnacentral:lncRNA from 1 species